GACGAACGCUGGCGGCGUGCUUAACACAUGCAAGUCGUACGGUAAGGCCCUUUCGGGGGUACACGAGUGGCGCACGGGUGAGUAACACGUGAGUAACCUGCCCACAACUUUGGGAUAACGCUAGGAAACUGGUGCUAAUACUGGAUAUGUGCUCCUGCUGCAUGGUGGGGGUUGGAAAGCUCCGGCGGUUGUGGAUGGACUCGCGGCCUAUCAGCUUGUUGGUGGGGUAGUGGCCUACCAAGGCGGCGACGGGUAGCCGGCCUGAGAGGGUGACCGGCCACAUUGGGACUGAGAUACGGCCCAGACUCAGACGGGAGGCAGCAGGGGGGAAUAUUGCACAAUGGGCGCAAGCCUGAUGCAGCAACGCCGCGGGCGGGAUGACGGCCUUCGGGUUGUAGACCGCUUUCAGCAGGGGCGAAGCUUGUUGUGACGGUACCUGCAGAAGAAGCACCGGCUAACUACGUG
rnacentral:rRNA from 1 species